rnacentral:rRNA from 1 species
GCCUACGGGGCGCAGCAGUGGGGAAUAUUGCACAAUGGGGGAAACCCUGAUGCAGCAACGCCGCGUGAGUGAGGAAGUAUUUCGGUAUGUAAAGCUCUAUCAGCAGGGAAUAGAAAAGAAGGUACCUGAAAAAGAAGCCCCGGCUAACUACGUGCCAGCAGCCGCGGUGAUACGUAGGGGGCAAGCGUUAUCCGGAUUUACUGGGUGUAAAGGGGGCGCAGACGGCGAUGCAAGCCAGGAGUGAAAGCCCGGGGCUCAACCCCGGGACUGCAUUGGGAACUGCCCCGCUCGAGUGCCGGAGGGGC